UGGGGAAUAUUGCACAAUGGGCGCAAGCCUGAUGCAGCCAUGCCGCGUGUGUGAAGAAGGCCUUCGGGUUGUAAAGCACUUUCAGCGGGGAGGAAGGCGUUAAGGUUAAUAACCUUGGCGAUUGACGUUACCCGCAGAAGAAGCACCGGCUAACUCCGUGCCAGCAGCCGCGGUAAUACGGAGGGUGCAAGCGUUAAUCGGAAUUACUGGGCGUAAAGCGCACGCAGGCGGUCUGUCAAGGCGGAUGUGAAAUCCCCGGGCUCAACCUGGGGGCUGCAUUCGAAACGGGCGGGCUAGGGUCUUGUAGAGGGGGGUAGAAUUCCAGGGGUGGCGGUGAAGAGCGUAGAGAUCUGGAGGAGUACCGGUGGCGAAGGCGGCCCCCUGGACAAAGACUGCCGCUCAGGUGCGAAAGCGUGGGGAGCAAACAGG
rnacentral:rRNA from 1 species